AGAGUUUGAUCANGGCUCAGAUUGAACGCUGGCGGUAUGCUUUACACAUGCAAGUCGAACGGAUUAUGGAGCUUGCUCCAUAGUUAGUGGCGAACGGGUGAGUAAUAUAUCGGAACAUAUCCGGAAGUGGGGGAUAACGUAGCGAAAGUUACGCUAAUACCGCAUAUGCCCUGAGGGGGAAAGGGGGGGAUCGCAAGACCUCUCGCUUUCGGAGUGGCCGAUAUCGGAUUAGCUAGAUGGUGAGGUAAAGGCUCACCAUGGCGACGAUCCGUAGCUGGUCUGAGAGGACGACCAGCCACACUGGAACUGAGACACGGUCCAGACUCCUACGGGAGGCAGCAGUGGGGAAUUUUGGACAAUGGGCGAAAGCCUGAUCCAGCCAUACCGCGUGAGUGAAGAAGGCCUUCGGGUUGUAAAGCUCUUUCAGCCGGAAAGAAAUUGCUUCUAUUAAUACUAGGAGUAGAUGACGGUACCGGAAGAAGAAGCACCGGCUAACUACGUGCCAGCAGCCGCGGUAAU
rnacentral:rRNA from 1 species